UGUAAAAUGAGCAGUCUAGCAGUUUUAAUACGUAACCAUCAAGCGUGAUUGUGUCCUGAAGACCUACCUCAUUUGAAGAGUGUGUGCAUCUACCUCAAUGAAGACUUAAAGGAAUAUGUGGACUGAAAGUGGCUGAAUCUCAAUGCACACACAAUCGUUUGGGCUGAGGAUGCUGGUCCUGGGGACAGACCUACAGAUGUGGUGAAAGUUUUGCAGAACCUGCUGAGUGUCACAUAUAGAUUGGAUGGACUUUUUGGGCUCAUGUACACUUAAAGGGUUUUUUUUAACCAGAAAU